UACAUGCUUGGACAGGAUAUGGUUCGGCAGGAACAAGAACAGACGCAACAACAGCAGUGGCUUCCGUCAUUUCCAUGGUGACAAAGUUGGAUGGAGCUGUGCCACUAUUUUCGUCUUGAGUAGGUGCAUCUACUUCAGUAACCAAGACUACAGUAGUUUCCUCUUGGGGAGGUAUAGAUGUUUCUUUACUUAGAUCAACUUCUGUGCCAGCAUGCUGCAUAGACUCUGGCGCUAUGACAACAGAUUCAGCAUUUUCCUUUUGAGCAGGUUCUGGUUCUGUAGCGACAGUAAUUUCCUCCUGAGGAGCCGCAAGUGUUUCUGUGCCAUCAUGCUCCACAGGGUCAGGAAUUGCUGAAAUAGCAACAGGACUUUGAUGAUGAACUAUGGAAGCAGAUAAAGUACCCAUUCCAAGUUCUGGACUACUUGCACCCUCCAAACCCGUUUGCUCCACAGUACAUGCUUGGACAGGAUAUGGUUCGGCAGGAACAAGAACAGACGCAACAACAGCAGUGGCUUCCGUCAUUUCCAUGGUGACAAAGUUGGAUGGAGCUGUGCCACUAUUUUCGUCUUGUGUAGGUGCAUCUACUUCAGUAACCAAGACUACAGUAGUUUCCUCUUGGGGAGGUAUAGAUGUUUCUUUACUUAGGUCAACUUCUGUACCAGCAUGCUGCAUAGACUCUGGCGCUAUGACAACAGAUUCAGCAUUUUCCUUUUGAGCAGGUUCUUCUGGUUCUGUAGCGACAGUAAUUUCCUCCUGAGGAGCCGCAAGGGUUUCUGUGCCAUCAUGCUCCACAGGGUCAGGAAUUACUGAAACUUCUUGCACUUCAGUGGCGGUAACCUUAAAUGUAGCAUCUUUGCUGUCAAGGUCCAUCGUGUCACCAACCUCCACAGGACUAUUAGCUUCUGCACGAUCCUCUUGCACAUGAACAGAAGCUCCAAACAUAGGCUCGACAACAAUUACAGUUUGCGAGGAAGCACCGCCAUGCUCUACCGUGCAGUGUCCAUCUCCUGAACUUGCUGCCUCCAGUUUGCCUUGCAAAACAUGAGUUUCAUGAAUUGGCUCAGGUCUUGCAAGCUGUUCUGACCUGCAGUAGUCAUUAGCCAAACCUGCUGCAUUAACAGAUUCAUCUUGGAUGGUACCACCAACCUCAGUUGGCUUUGGUCGUGUCUCAACAAGUUCAGAUGUAGCAGGUUGCUGUUCAGCAGGAUGGACCCUUUCUUCAAUUGGUUCUGCUCCUCUAGCAAUACCAGAAUCACCACUAGGUUUUGUGCAAGGUUCAUGCAUAGGAACCGGUUCAUGAUAUCUUUCCUG
rnacentral:lncRNA from 1 species